UACGGAGGAUGCAAGCGUUAUCCGGAAUGAUUGGGCGUAAAGCGUCCGCAGGUGGCUAUGUAAGUCUGCUGUUAAAGAGUCUAGCUCAACUAGAUAAGAGCAGUGGAAACUACGAGGCUAGAGUACGUUCGGGGCAGAGGGAAUUCCUGGUGUAGCGGUGAAAUGCGUAGAGAUCAGGAAGAACACCAGUGGCGAAGGCGCUCUGCUAGGCCGUAACUGACACUGAGGGACGAAAGCUAGGGGAGCGAAUGGG
rnacentral:rRNA from 1 species